rnacentral:rRNA from 1 species
AUUGAACGCUGGCGGCAGGCCUAACACAUGCAAGUCGGACGGUAGCACAGAGGAGCUUGCUCCUUGGGUGACGAGUGGCGGACGGGUGAGUAAUGUCUGGGGAUCUGCCCGAUAGAGGGGGAUAACCACUGGAAACGGUGGCUAAUACCGCAUAACGUCGCAAGACCAAAGAGGGGGACCUUCGGGCCUCUCACUAUCGGAUGAACCCAGGUGGGAUUAGCUAGUAGGCGGGGUAAUGGCCCACCUAGGCGACGAUCCCUAGCUGGUCUGAGAGGAUGACCAGCCACACUGGAACUGAGACACGGUCCAGACUCCUACGGGAGGCAGCAGUGGGGAAUAUUGCACAAUGGGCGCAAGCCUGAUGCAGCCAUGCCGCGUGUAUGAAGAAGGCCUUCGGGUUGUAAAGUACUUUCAGCGGGGAGGAAGGCGGUGAGGUUAAUAACCUUGCCGAUUGACGUUACCCGCAGAAGAAGCACCGGCUAACUCCGUGCCAGCAGCCGCCGUAA